rnacentral:rRNA from 1 species
UACGUAGGCAGCGAGCGUUGUUCGGAGUUACUGGGCGUAAAGGGUGCGUAGGCGGUUUUUUAAGUUUGGGGUGAAAUCUCCCGGCUCAACCGGGGGGGCGGGCCGGAUACGGAGGGACUUGAGUGCGGGAGAGGGAAAUGGAAUUCCCGGUGUAGCGGUGAAAUGCGUAGAUAUCAGGAGGAACACCGGUGGUGUAGGCGG